GCUAGCGUAGCUUACCAAAAGCAUGACACUGAAAAUGCCAAGAUAAAUGUUAAAUUAUUUCGCAAGCA
rnacentral:tRNA from 1 species